rnacentral:piRNA from 1 species
UCCUUCAAUAGGUUGUUGUGAGAAUUAAAU